GGAGAGAUGGCUCAGUGGUUAAGAGCACUGACGGAUCUUCCAGAGGUCCUGAGUUCAAUUCCCAGCAACCACA
rnacentral:tRNA from 1 species